UACGUAGGAGACGAGCGUUGUCCGGAAUCACUGGGCGUAAAGCGCGUGUAGGCGGAUCGGCAAGUCUGCUGUGAAAGCUCCUGGCUUAACCGGGAGUGGUCGGUGGAAACUGCCAGUCUGGAGGACGGUAGAGGUAGGUAGAAUUCCCGGUGUAGUGGUGAAAAUGCGUAGAGAUCGGGAGGAAUACCUGUGGCGAAGGCGGCCUACUGGGCCGGACCUGACGCUG
rnacentral:rRNA from 1 species